AGUGAUCACUGAGUCUUAAAGACUGUUGAACAGAAUAUACUAGGAAGCAGGUAUGUUUGCAGAGUGCCUCAAAGAAACUUUUUGAUGUUUUGUAGUUAGUCUUAAAUUCACAUCAAAGUUCUUAAAUUAAUGUUAGUCAUGGGAAAAUCAUUUACUAUUCAAAGAAGGUUUGUUUCCUUCCUAAACUUGAGCAACAUAAAUUAUAUUGUAUUCAACUUCUUAAAAAAUUGCAUCCACACAACAAAAUAUUUUUAUAUGAUGUAAUUCUGAGUUGAUAUCCAUUUUCAACUGGAACAGAUAAAAAUGCUUUGGUUAAAAAUAUUUCCAUGAAAAUUACUGUUAACCUGCAAUUAACAACAUUUGGGGUUCAUUCUGUACUACAAGGACUUUAAUCUAGUAGAAAGGAAGUCCACGUAUAUUCACUGUAGCAGGGUUUCAUUGGAUGGACCAUUAUUGAUAAAAUUCCCGAUUCCAGUUAUCAAAAAACAGUUUCACAAAAUUCUACUUGCUUGCUCACUAAUCAAAAAAUGUACUUCAGGUUGACAAACUUUCUUUUCAUUAUUGUUAUUACCCUCAUUGGGAGGAUGAAUAAGCAGAAUGACAUGCUUGGGAUGGUAAAUCAGCUUUGUAAGGCUGUAAUGUAAACCUAAGUUUUCAAGGUUGAUCAGAUAAAUGUUACUUGCGGGAAGAAUCUGCAGGUAUCUUCAGAAUCAAAGCCUGUAUCAAUUAUUUGCUUCAUAGCACAAUUUCUUGGCUUCUUUCUUUCCUUCUUGAGUGAGUCCCUUAGAUAUGCCACCUCCUUGAUGGCUGUGAAAAGCUACACAAAUACUGGGAGAAAUCCACUGAGAAUUAUUCAGUGAGGUCUGUACUGAAGAUUUCUGCCUGAUUAGCAAAAAUCUUACUGCCAAAUAUUUACGUAGUAUCUAUCAUAGAAAAACAGUAACAAAACUACCUCCUUAUAAUUAGUCAUUUUAAUCCUGUGGAGGGAGGGCCUGGUCUGACCAGAAAGGAGUAUAUUUAAAAAGAAAAAAAAGAGAGCCAAACUUGUGUGGUUUUUGUUUUUGUGUAGAGGAGGACAGAUUGGUGACUUACAGUUGGCAUAAGCCAUUGAAUUAAGAAAUUUUCUAGAAGUUCCCAGAACUCUGCUUUGGUUGGGGGUGGGGCAAGCAAUUACACCUCUUGACUCAAGACUAAACGUUAAGGGGAGUGGAUGCAUGAUGUUUCUAGCGUAUGGUGGUGGCCAAUAUUUGUCGCUUUAUUUAAAAAGAAUGCUGAGCUAAUGUGAUUGAUUUUCACAUCCAAAAAAUAUAGAUGGAAUUACAGCUACUUAUAGCUAGUAUGUUACAAACAUCACACAUUUCACAGGAUAGCCAAUAAAAUUAUGUAACUAUACGCUUGUCAAAGCUGCAAGAUAAUACAGUACAAAAUCAGACAAUAUUACACAGACACAACAUGUUAAGGGGGGAUAAUAACAAUAGAGAUAUUCAAAUAGCUAAAAACGGCAUUCCACUUGACCUCUCCACUUUUCCUUUCCCUCUUCCCCUCCUCUUUUUUUUUUUUUAAGCCUAUCUCAGCAUUCUUUAUCCAAGUAUAUUAAGAAAUAGAGACCUCAUUUCUUUGAAUUCUCAUAAUAGUUUUCUACACUGAUAAGCUAUUGUUUCUUUGGCUGCUAGCUCAGACAGGUCUGAAUGCCACUGCUCUAUUAUUGGCAUAAGUCUACUCCUCCUUUUUUGUAAAAUUAUAUGCUUGAUGAACAUUACAGCCCUCAAGAACUAAAAUAUUUGUGGUGAAGUUGAACCCAUCGCAGUAGGCACAUAACCUAUGAUAUAACUUCAGCUGAGAUUUGGUUGCUGAAGCCAAGCACUAUUUUUUUUUUUUUUUUUUUUUUUUUUUUUUUACUCUUGUGUCCCCCUCUUUCCAUGGUGUCUGACUGUUGGACAGUCCCAUAACAUAUGCAUGAGGGCUCCUUUUUCUUUAUUACAGCACGCACAGCAUCUGAAGACAGUGCCCCCCUGUCUUCCACAACCUCUGGGAUGCAAUACAUUUUGAAUAGAAUCUUUUGUUAUAUCAGGCAUAGCUUGAGAUCCACAGGACCAUUUUUAACAUUCUGUAAUAUGCCCUGCCAUUAGGGAUCUUCUAAGGGCUGUGAUAACUCUCCUUUCCAUGCUUUCGCAAAGAACUCCAGAUUAGUGGAGUUCUUCUUCAGUAGUAACGCAUACAUAGUGGACGUAGGCCUGGAUAGUCUGUGAAGCAUUUCUAAAGUACCCAGUAGCUCCGGGGCCUCUGGCAGUCCUACAGCAUCUGGACCAAACUGAUUUGUUAGCAGUUGUCUUAGUUGCAAGUACUGCUAGGCCAUUGAGGGUGGCAGGUCAUAUCAGGAAUGUAGGGUUGGAAGGGACCUUGAGAGGUCAAGUUCAUGCCACAGCACUGAGGUAGGACCAAGUAAACCUAGCCCAUCCCUGACAGGUGUUCUUAAAAACCUUCAAUGAUGGUGAUUCAACAGUGUCCCUUGGAAGCCUAUUCCAGAGCUUAACUACCCUUAUAGUUAAGUCUUUCCUAAUAUCUAAUUUAAAAUUGCCUCGUUUCAGGUUAAGCACAUUACAUCCACUGAAGGCAGGACAAGAAGUAUAGAACAAUUGAUCACAGUCCUCAUUAUAGCAGCCCUUAAUAUAUUUGAAGACCAUUAUUGGGUCCCUCCUCAGUCUUUUCAAGACUAAGUAUGUCCAGAUUUUUUAACCUUUCCUCACAAGACAGGUUUUCUAAACCUUUUAUCAUUUUUGUUACUAUCCUCUAUACUCUGUCCAAUUUUUCCACAUAUUUCCUAAACUUUGGUACCCAAAAUUGGAUACAGUACUCCAGCUGAGGCCUCACCAGUGCCAAGCAGAGCAGGACAAUUACCUCCUAUGUCUGACAUACUACUUUUCUGUUAAAACACCCCAGAAUAUUUUCAUUUUGCACAGCUGCAUCAUGUUGUUUACUCAGAUUCAAUUUGUGAUCCAGUAUAACUUCCAGAUCCUAUUCAGCAGUGCUACCACCUAGCCGGUUAUUCCUCAUUUUAUAGAUGUGCAUUUGAUUUUUGCCUUCCUAAGUGAAGUACUUUGCACUUGUCUUUUAUUGAAUUUUGUUGAUUUCAGACCAAUUCUCCAAGUUACGGUCCUUUUGAAUUCUAAUCCUGUACUUCAAUGUGCUUGCAACCCUUUCCAGCAUUGUGUCACCUACAGAUUUUAUAAGCGUACUUGCCAUUCUGUUAUCCAAUCAUUAAGGAAAAUACUGAUUUUUCCAGGCCCAGAAAUUGCUCCUGAAGGACCCCACUAGAUAUGUUCUCCCAGCCUCACAGCAAAUCUUUAACUUUUUGAGUACAGUCUUUCAGCCAGCUGUGCACCUGCUUUAUAGUAAUUUUAAUGUGGACCACAUUUCUCUAAUUUGCUUAUGAGAAUGUCAUGUGGGAUUUUGUGAAAAGUCUUACUAAAAUCAAGAUACAUCACGUACUAUUGCUUCCACCCAUCCAGUAAUGCUGUCAAUGAAGGAAAUUAGGUUGGUUUGGCAUGAUUUGUUUUUGACAAAUCUAUGCUGGCUAUUCCUUAUAACCUUAUUGCCCUCCAAUUGCUUAUAAACAGAUUGUUUAAUACCUUGUUCCAGUAUCUUUCUAGGUAUCAAUGUUAAGCUGACUGGUCUAUAAUUCCACAGGUCCUCUUAGUACCUAUAGGGGCAUUAAAAAGGGGAAUGUUUGCCCUUUUCCAGUCUUCUGGGAUGUCCACUAUCCCCCGUGAGUUUUCAGAGAUAAUUGCUAAUGGUUCUGAGAUUUUCUGCAGUUCCUUAAAUAAGAUGAAUUUCACCAGGACCUGCUGAUAUGAAUACAUCUAAUUUUGUCUAAAUAUUCUGUAACCUGUUCUUUCCCUAUUUUGGUUUCCGUUUCUUCCCCCUUAUUGUUAAUAUGAAUAGUAUUGCUUCAGGGUUAGAAAAGACACAAAGGUCUCAUCCUUGACUAAUUGGAAAAUGCAUAUGAUGCCCUUGCUCAGCCUGUUCCUCCAAAUUAUAGGUUUCUUUCCCAAUUUGCAAGUCUGGGUUACCCCAUCAGAUGCUUUUGCAUGACAGCAAGGAUGAAAUUGAUACUUUUUUAGCUAGGAUAACUUAGACCCUUUGGGAGGCCACCAUUCUUGUAGGCUCCUUAUUUUUCUCUACUGGACAAAGCGAGGAACCAAGCACACCUGCAGGGGGAUGUAUUGCCUGUAUUAACAUCUAUUCAUUUUCUACCCAUGUGGGUAUAAGGAUGUUAGCAUUCUGGAACCAAUUUGACAUGACAUGAUAAAAACAUAAUAGUAAUAUGGAUCUCUGAGCCCAACCCCCCCGUUGACUAUAGGGAAAUGGACUUUUCUAAGUGAUAACUCUGGGUGUUGAUCAGCUAAUUUUGGAGUUGAAAUAUCUCCCCUGUGAAUGGAAGACAGAUUGUUCUUCCUCUGGAACAAGUUAUUGAUAAAUUCCCCAGCAGAAUGGGGCCCUAUUCCAAGUUUUAAAAUACUUGGUAGACACCUGUGGUCUGAUGGGUUACAUUUACAAGUCUAGCAAUGUCUAGAGAUAAUGUCCAUGUGAGAAGCCUAAUUUAAACUUCCUGCCAGUUCCUAGUGGGAUCUUGUAUCAGCCUCUCACUAGCAGCUCUCUAAGGGCCAAAUCCUGCAACUGGACCUUUAUAGGUAGACUCAUGAUUCUGUGUGGAGCCCCAUUGAAUGUUAUGGUGCUUUGCAAUUGCAGGUUCUGGCCCUAAGUUUGAAACUGGUUCCCCAGCAUCCUCCUCCAAAGCUGCUGGAAGAGGAAAAUUACUUUGGGGAAUAUUCCACUAUUCCAAGCAGUGAUCUCAGCACAAAGGUAGAUGGGGGAACAACUAUACUCUAUUACGAUGUCAUCUACCACUGCUCAGAUCAGAUCUAAAUGACAUUGGUAAAAACACUAGUGUCUGUCUGAACCCUAUCUAUGUUAGCAUUCCACUGGUGGAGCUGCACCGAUGGUUAUUGACAAGAUGUGAGACUCUCUGUGGGCAACAAGUCUUCUGUGUUUCGGUUUACUGUCUUUCUCCAUUUUUAGAGGUGAACCGGGGAGAAGUGGUAUCUAUUGCAACUACCCUCCCUGUGUCACUUUUUAAGGUCUGUUUACCCUUAGUAACUCCAGUACUUGCCUCUGCUGAGUUUUCCCAAACAGGGGCAGCAUGAAAUCAACAUGAAUCUUGUCAGUGACUGAGAACCUUAGGAGUAGCAGUAAAACUGAUCAGCUUGGUUAAUAUCUGUCUGCUUCCAAAGUCUGCAGGCUCUGAUAAUAUUUAUCCUUUUAUUUUGGUUCACAUGAAAGUUUUUCUUCAGGCUUUAGUGCAAGAAACUUGAUUUGCAAUUUCUGCAGAAGUUGACUUAAGUCCCUGUGUUUUGCCAGGGAAAACUGGUCACUUCCCAAUUAUAAGUGGAUUUUCCAGGCUUUGACCCUAACCUCAUCUUUCCCUUUUAUACACAUACUAGACUUCCAUACUUCUGAAAGUACUUCAUGAACCAGCAUCUAGUAACAACUAGAAGUGUCUUUAGAAUGGCAGUUAGUUAAUUGGAACUGCACGUCAGAUUAUUAUAGUCUGCCUGCAGGGUGAAAUUGGUGUCAAUGGAGGGAAACUGCCUGCAUCUCUUUCUUGAUAAAGAUAAGUGGUAAUCGUAGUACUACUGUGAUCCAGGCCUGAGGAAGAUACAACUUGAUCAAGAAAUAUUUGAAUGUUAAAUUUGACUUUUAUUGGACUUAAUAUAAAAUAUGUAAGUAGCACUUUUGUUGUGUGGUUGGCUUUUCUUUACACUUAGUUCCCACUAGCUUGAUACUAGAGACUUUUUGGGACUGUAUACUUUUACUUUUUGUUUUUUGCCUCCUCCCCCGCUGUCCCCAGAAAAUAUUGUAGGUUACUAGACUCUCAUUAAAUGGAAUACACAAAUAAGGGGAGAGCCUGUAGAUAAACAAGUGUUUCUAAUGUUCAAUUAGAACUCCUGUUAACUUGGAAUAUCUGAGAACUAUGCAGUGUUGAAAUAACCUGCUAUAGUACUAAUACUUAAAAUUGUACAUCUUCAGAGUGCUGUGUAAACACUAAAUCUCUAUUUGUCCCCAUUUUCAGAGUCCAUCUUGAUGGUACUUUGAGUACAUUGUAUACAUUAUUGCAUAGAACAGGAUGUGCUUUUUUUAAUUUUAUUUUUAUUGCAAUAUUUAGAGGAUGGCAUUGAGGAAUUUCCUGCAUUAGAGUAACGUUAAGCAUUAUGAUAUACAUCAAUUACAGAAGUAAAGGUUUGGGCAUAGAAGGGUAAAAGGAUUCUUAAGUGAUAUUGAAUACAGUGCUUUCUUUAAUUGUCGUCAUAGCAUCAAAGAGCUAACCUCACCAUGUCUCUGGUUUUUAUCAGAAAACACCAAUACUCUUUUCAGUAAAAUCAACAUAAUUAAAACUCCGUGUGUAACUGUUUUCUUCCCCCCUCCCCCCUAUAAUGCACAUUACCACCCUCAAAUUCAGCAUGUGAAAUUACAAAGAAUGUAAGAACUGCCAUAUUGGGUCAGACCAACUGUUCAUCUGGCUCUGUAUCCUGUCUCCAACAGUGACCUGUACCUGAGCUUUGUGGGGGUGUACAGAACAGUGUAGCUGGAAUGUUCCAACCUGUAUUUCCUUCCCAGCUUCUGGUAGUCAGAGGUUUAGGGUCAUUCGAGCAUGGGGUUGCAUCCCUGACCAUCUUGACUAAUAGCCAUUGACGGAGCUGUCCCCUUAUCUAGUAGUUUUUUUGUUUGUUUUGUUUGUUAACCUAAUUAUACUUUUGGCCAUCACAACAUCCCACAGGUUAAUUGUGUGCUGUGUGAAAAAAAUACUUCCUCUUAUUUGUGUUAAACGUGCUGUCUGUUAAUUUUAUUGAGUGAUCCCUGGUUUUUGGUGUGUGUGUGAGAGAGAGAGAGAAAUAAAAAAUAAAUAAAUAAAUAACACUUCUCUAUUCACUCUUUCCACACCAUUCAUGAUUUUAUAGAUUAUAGAUCACAUUUCCCCCUUAAUCAUCAUUUUUUUUUCCUCUAAGAUGAACAGGCCUAAUCUUUUUUUGUCUGUCUUUAUACUGAAGACAUACCAUACUCGUGAUUAUCUCUGUUGUCUUUCCAGUUCCUCUGUAUCAGUGGUUCUGAAACUUUUGUACUGGUGAACCCUUUCAGAUAGCAAGCCUCCGAGUGUGACCCCUCCCCCCUUAUAAAU